CAAGUGACGUCCCAUCCGAUCAUCCAGUCCAGAACAAGGUCCGCCCUCUUGCCCAAAUCAUUCAAGGUCGGGAGUCUCCUGCUGGAGAGGUUGAAUGACAUUUUGUCCCCAACGAAGGCCACUCCACAGGGGUUGAAUUGCGAGACCGACACGUGUCCAUCGACGGAGGAGAUUCUAAUGCGGAGCAUCUUGAGCCCCUUCGGAAUGGACGCUUGACAGCAACCGAGACCAGAGCAAGUGGUCUCCUUCGCCAAGUCGACGUACUCGCUGCAGUAGGAGAUGCAGCCGCUCCGGAAAAACCUAUCUCUGUCGGUCAUGAGCACGUAGGUGUCACAGCCGAGGACUGUGAGGUUGUUCCGGGUGGAUGACAAUCUGUACGGUGGAUAUGAAGAUAGAUCGAUGUACAGAUUAUCGCUUCUGUUUACUGACCAGCCAGUCUUGUUGUAGCAGUCGUGUAGUUCGGGGAUGCUGACGACCAUGGUCGAGUCGCCAAAUGAGAUCUUGCGUAUCGGAGUAUUCCCCAACCAUAGUUGACCACCGCUCCCAUCGGUGGUAGUGCAAUUGAGCAAAAACUCUUCGGACCGCGCACAAUGGCGUUCGAGCCCGAAGGGAUAAGGUAUGGGCACUCUCCCACACCUAUGUGCACAGUGUCCGGCCACGAUGGUAGCACCGCCUUGUCGCAACCACCAGGCCACAGCCACCAGUAGAAGCUGCUGCACUACCUUCAUUUCCGAAAAACUCUCUCUCUCUCUCUCUCUCUCUCUCUCUCUCUCUCUCUCUCUCUUUUGGGACCUUUGUGCCUCUGUCCUUGUUCACAGAGUGGGAUUUAAGUAUGAGCCAUUCACCCCAGCCCAUUAUAUACUCGCAUGGACAAAUAGGUGAAAGGGCCAAUUGUGUCAAUAUAACAAAUUGAAGGAUCUGAUUGCUAUAUGAAGAAAUGCAAGACAGAAUAAUAUACAUCAGAGAAAAAAAAAAAAGACACCAAGUUUUUUUUUUUUUUCAGCAUUUCGGGUAAAACUUUUCACCAUCUUGAGUAAAGCUUACUUUCUGGUUGCUUUGGACAACGCGAGCCGCAUUGGAAGUUCGAAACUUCCUAAUUGCUUGUUGACCUUGAAAAAUCUUAUUUUGUUUGUUGUGUAUAUUUGAUUGUGCCAUGACAUAGGAUUAUCUUAAUUGUUCUUUCAUUAUAUCAUGGUGAGCCGAUAGUAAUGGGCACGCUCAAAUUAGCAAUCGCUUAAAUAGAACAUCAUGUUAUGUGUUCAGAGGAACUCUUAUGAUAAAUACUUAGUGGGAUUUAGUUACAAGUGCUUGUUGCAAUUUCCUUCCACUGUGCCUAUUAAAUAUACUAUAACAGUAAUUCUAUUAUGAUGUACAAUAAUAUAUCUUAUUUACACAAGUAUCCUUGUUGUCUAGAUACAUAAUUGCAAGCUACGAAAAGCUAUAUUGGAGAAAACAUAGAGUAAUUGUAGCAUAUGCAACCGGUGUAAAUAAAAUUUUACAAGAAUGACUGCAUACACCAUUGAUUUAAAAGAUUGAUAGUAAUAAUCUUUAAAUCAAAGAUGCCGAGACUGCUUAUAUGAAACUUCUUUUAUGCCGGCAAUGUAUGAUCUAUUUUUCCAAAAAUAAGUAGUGAACUAUACUUGCUAGAUGAUGUAGUAUGUGAUUUCCAUGUAAUUAAAUGAAGGCAUGCUUCGUGUUGGGUCUCAUGCUUUCAGCAAUAAAUCGACUACAAAAAUGUAUGAUGCCGCAUUAUUUGGUGAUGUAGUUUGCCAUAAAUAAAUUGUUGACAUGGUUUUUAAUAAUUUAAAUUUUUCAAAAAAAUAGUAAGUUUAACAUGAUCUGAGAACAUAAGUCAAUUAUUUAAAUUCUGACGCUCUCUCAAUUUUCUCUUGCUUGUUAUUCCCAUUAUUCUCAUAUUUUGUCAAUUCUUCACUCAUUAAUUUUCUAGUUGGAAAAUAAGCACGUGUCUACUACUUGUAAAAUUGCUUGUAUAGAGUAAAUUUUGUAGUGUGGUGUUCUUAUUGGAGUUUUUUCUUUUUUAGAACACGUUGAGAGAAAAGACACGUACGACGUUGCCCUAAAUAAACAUAAGAAAUAUUGUUAAUCAGUCCUUAAAAGCAAGAGUGAAGCAUACCAUUUGGAUAAGGAUUUGAUUGAUAAAUACUAAUUACACCUGUUACAAUAAAAAUAUUAUCUAUGUACAUCUUUUGUUCGACUGCUUAAUAAGUGUUAUAAAAGUGCCCCUUUCUUAAAAUGUAAAAUUUUAUAUAAUUGUAUCGCAUGCUGGUGCAAUCUAAAUCUCUAAAUUAUUAGUAAUAUUAUGCCUAGUAAUUAACAUCGCUUAUAGGAGAAAACCCAUCUCAAGCAAUGAAUAGAAUAAUGAUUUUAUUUUAGUUUUGAUUGAAUCUUCUUAAAUUAAAUGGUAAUUGACUUGCCAUCAAAACCCCGAAAAUCUUGAACAUAGUUCAAUACAAGAUAUUGCUUCUUCUUCUUUUUUUUACUACAAAAAAUUUGGACUAUACAACUUAAACAAACGUUAAGAAUAUAUGUAAUUCGCCUGUUCACAUAUAUAUAGUAAAGCUCCAUAUAUCUAGGGAGGUUGGAGAGGUUAUUUUGAAUGUAAGACUUUGCAAUGAAAUAUAUAUGAUUCAAAUUAAAUGUUUAAUCAUUCAAUCGAUAAUUUUGAGAAUUUAAAAAAAAAUGAUUAGGCGAGGAAAAUUAUUAGAGUCCUCUUUCUUUUCGAAAGCCUUUUUUUUUUUUUUUUAAUUUUUGGGUUGAAAGCGCUCAUUGAGUCCUCUUUCCGGCAGUCGAUUUUAUAUUAUGUUUUGCCCAUCUCUAUCGAGGCCAAAAGUACAGUAAUGUGUUUCACGACAAAAGUGAAACAUAGGAAACGACCUUUUAUAUCAACCUUUGAGGAGAUCUCUUCCUUUCCAGUAGGCCUGACCCUGCGUCCAAACGUUAACAAGAUGAGUUCGGUGGAUCUCCAGCGUUGAUUUACGUGGGCUCCACACUCGACUAAAUCAUCUAACUGCUGAAAUUCAUUGGGAUUUUGUGCAUCCGGUUCAUGCACGCGUGGCCUGUGCUGCGCACUAAAACUUCCGGGCCCGACGCCUAGUGACCGCAUGAUCCUCGUGUGGGAAGACUUGAUUAGGGGUGUCAACGGUUCGGUUCGGUUCGGUUCGAUUCGGUUCGGUUUUUCGGUUUUCAACUUUUGGUUUUUGGUUUUCUCUUUGUAUCUCUCUUUCUGUAUAUCUCUCUUUGUAUCUCUCUCUCUGUCCUAGGAUCAAACCAUUCAAAGAAGGGAAGAGAAGACUCAAACCCAGAUGACGACUCGAGCUGAAGACGUCUCCCUCCCUCACCCCACACGAGCUCGAGGCAGAAUCAUGGUUGAACCAGACAGGCAGAAUUCACUACUCCACAAGCCCUAGACGAACAGACCCGAACCCAAUUCUGAACUGACGAUUCACCGCACGAAUCGCAUGAUAAACCUGAGGAACUCGUACCGAAACACCAAAUCAACACUAGCAUGCGGUUCGGCUAACAGGGACCGCGACCUACAGGGCACGACUCACCUGAAUUCAUUAGCAAUUUGGGAUUGCCCCCACGAAGUCGCGCACAAUCGAGGGCAGGUUCACGAGGUCGAUCAGGUUGGCCAGCUUCUUUGGGUUGUCGGCCAGGGCCUUCUCCAUCUUUGCAACAACAUUUUCCCCCUUCCUCUGCGACGGCGUUCCUUUAGAGCAGAGCCUGUUUCCGUCGAUGGUGGGGAGGAGGACGUCGAGGGGAGCAAGACAUGCUCAGGCACAUCCCUCAAUUGGUCGCCGUCGCCGUCCUUGCCGCCGUCACUGUCCCUGUUGCCGUCGCAGUCAUAGUCACCGUCGCACCGAGAGGAGACGAGAGAGAAUUAGAAAUAGGGUUUGCCCUUGCCGGUUUGGUUAAUGGUUUUAUUUUAUCGGUUCUUCGGUUCGGUUCGGUUCGGUUCGGUUAACCGAUAAAAACUGAACCGAUAAAAAAGAUUUCGGUUUUUAAUGAGAACUGAACCGGAAACCGAACCGAACCGAAAAAACCGAAUUUUUCGGUUCGGUUCGGUUCGGUUCGGUUCCUGACACCCCUAGACUUGGUGACAACGGUGGACGAAGCCUCGUGAGUCGUCUUGGAAUCUUUCUAAGAAUACGAUAAAGUGCGUGAGAAAAAGUAAAGAAAAGAGAUAUUUCGAGACUCCCAAGAAGAUAAUUAAGAUUAUCUCUACGUAGAAUUGUGUUUUCUUUAAUCGGGAACCAUCGUUUUUUAAAAAAAUUGUUACUUUUCACGUUACAAAUAGCAGAGAUAAUGAUGUUCUAGUAUUUAAAAAAAGCAGUCCCCUUAUAUGUAUAUUAACAUAUAUCGUGUAUUACUCAUAGAAUUACGAUUAUCUUUACAUAGAAUUAUGUUUUUUUUUUAAAAAAAUUUGAGAACCAUUGUAUUUUUAAAAAUUUGUAACUUUACACGUUACAAAUAGCAGGGAAAAUGAUGUUCUAGUAUUUGAAAAAAGCAAUCUCCUUAUAUGUAUAUUAACAUAUAUCGUGUACUCUUUAGAUAGACUCAACAUGUACCUGUAACCAUAUUUAGGGUUAUACAAAGAUGUAUUAAAAUCAUCAAAAAGAACAAUCUUACAAUAAUCUUAAGAAUUUUCUAAUAUGAUUAAGUGAGAUAGGCAUCCAAAAGUACAUUUGCAAUCUCAGGAUAAUUAUGUUUUUAAGCAAAACUACUUACAAAAUGUGUUUCUUUACUGGCAAAAUCAUUUCAUGCACCUAGACCAUCGGAUUAGAUUCAUCAUAGCCAUUGAUCAUGUAAACCAUACAAGUGAGUUCCGCAUGACCAAUGGUUGCAAUUGCAUUGGGUCGAUGGACGAGGCAAGGGAUCCUUCAUUUCUUGCAAUGUUUUAGUUGGAAAAUGGCCUCUAUUUAAAGUUAUGAGCCAAUGAAACUAGGAGUCAUGUCCUUUUGUAUGCAAUACUUCACUGUUUAGCGAUUAAUAUGGUUAAGUAUGCCUGUAAGAUGGAAUACUCUUCUUUUUCUAAAAUUUUCUUGUUAGUAUCAUAAAUUGGUUGUAUACAGAUAUAAUGCAACAAGUCAAUCACAAAAUCCAUGUCAUAUGAAUUCUAAUUAACUUUUGUUUGAGUUUUGAAAAAUUAAUGCCACCUUGUAAUGGAAAAGGAUUUGAUUUUUACAUAGUCAUUACACACAUAACAAUAAAAGUCAGUAUUAAAAUUAUUAAUAUAUGUACUUUUUCGUUACUAUCUAAUUAUAGUGCAUGAUGGCUCAAUCUAAAUUUUCCAAACUAUUAGUGGUACUAUGUAUAGUAAUCAAGAUCACCAAUAGGAGGAGGUCCUACUUAGGCAGUGAAUAGAAUAACAAUCGUAUUUUAAUUUUGAUCAAAAUCAUCUUAUUUUAAAAGGGUAAUUCAUAUGCUAUCACAACCCAAAAAAUAUUGACACUUAGGCCAAAAAAAAUUAAUAGCUUUUUCUUUUUUUUUACGGUUCAAAGUAUCCAAACUACUCAAAUUAAAAGAUGUUAUCAUGUGUUCACAUGCAUCUAGUAAAACUCUACCACAAUAAGUCUAGCGAGAUUGAUUCUAAAUGUGAGAGGUUGGGAUAGAAUUCAUUGCAUACAAAUUAAAUGCUUGAUAACUCAACUAAUAAUUCAAGAUUGCAAAACAAAAAAUUUGGCUGAAAGUUGUCAUCAUAUUUUUAUUUUAUCAUAGAGUCCUUUCGAGUCAUUUUUCUACAUUAUACGCAAAGUCCAUUGUGCCCCCUCUCUCUUGACCAAACUAAAGUAACAUGUGUUCCACACAAAAAUUAAAUAUAGAAAAGUACCUUAGAUUUUUCAUUUCUUUGGGGGGACCUUUACCUAUUUAUAUUGGCUUUGGACCUAGCUGACCUGGCCUUGAACUUAAAAAAACAAAAAAUAAUGACAAUCUCCGUAUGAAAAUGAGCCUAGUCGAUCGUGGACGUUGAUUUAUGUGAUUCUCAUAGGACUUACCUCAUUUAAGAACUGAAAUUCAUUGAGAUCUUGUGACCUAGUUCAUGCAAGUGCCAUUGGUUCGAUCAAGCCGCUGAGUAUUGGAAACAAGCUGUAGCGCUUACUCCUGGUAAUUAUAUUGAAGCGCAGAAUUGGAUCUGCACUAAAAUCACUGGGCCCAAUGCCCGGUGGCCCCAAGGUGAUAGCGACACACGAGAAUCUCUCUCAGUACAGGGAAAAUCACAAGUGGUCUCGAAGUCUUUCGAAGAACAAGACAAAUGCCAAAGAAGGUGCUUCCAGUAAAGAUGUGGUGGGGUUCGGCCUGAUCCGUGCGGAGGAUGAUCUUUUGAUGACGACAUGUCUGCUACGCGAGAUGGUCAUCACUCGACCGUUCUCUAUCGCCAAGGACGACCGGGAGAGGAGUGGAGUACAGGGGCUGCACAGUGUGUGUUUGUCGGUCUUCUUAAAUUAUAACAACAUCCAAAAGAAGAUAAUGAUGUUUUUUGCAUUUCCACAUAUUCAUAUUCCUAUUUUUGUAUUUUUAUUUCAAUGAGAUCCUGUCACAUGACAUUGCCAUUUAAUUUAAGGGUAAAAGUCACAAAAAUACCCUAAAUUAUGCCUAUGGUGACAUAUUUACUCCAAAUUUUUUUAUUGAUAUUAAAAGUUUUAAACUUAUAUUUACGUGACACAUUUAACUCAAAAUUUUGCGAUGUGACACAUUUACUUGAACUUUUAUUUUGUGACAUAAGAAACCUUAAAACUUUUUUUUGGUGACACCAAAAAUUUCAAAUUUUUUUCUAUGACAUUAAAUUUUUUAGAUAAAUGUGUCACAUGAAUAUAAGUUUUUUUUUUUUUUUUUGGUAAUCCAGGGAACCCCGUCAGCCAUUCGUCACCUUACGGAUAUAAGUUUGGUGUCACACAAGUAUAAGUUUGGGUUUUUUGAUGUCAUAGGAAAAAAAAUUUAGGGUAAAUAUGUCACACAGAUAUAAGUUUGGAGUUUUUAAUGUCACAAUUUUUUUUUUGGGUAAAUAUGUCACAGUUGAUAAAGUUUAGGGGUUUUUUUUUUUUUUUUUGCUUUUUUGCUUAAUUUAAUUAUAUACUACUUUUUGAAUUCAUAUAAUAUAGAUGUAUGCCUAUCAAUCAUUAUCUCUUUGGAGAAUUACUUUUUUUUCAUUCAAGGAACUACUAGUUUCUAAAAGAAGUCACUCUUUAUAUCUUGAAUUACAGAGAUAAUGACAUUCUAGUGAUGAAAAAGUCUCCAUACGUUUGUGUAUAUCCCCUUAUAUCUUUCAAUAGAUCCAUCCACCUUAUGUUUAAUGGAGAAAACCCAUUUGCAGCUAAUCAUUUUUUUCCAUCCAACAAUAGAACAAGAUUUCAUUUUUUUUUUCUUUAGGGCCUCCAUUUCUUCUUUUAUCAAUUGAAUCCACUUCGGAUCUGCUAAGGCUUCUUGUAGUCCCAUCGUAUUCAAAUGCCUCAAGAGGUUUUGAUAAUCUCCAAGCUUAUACAUGAUUUGCAAUAGGAUAUUUUGAUCUCCUUUCCUCAAAUUCUAUUGAGUAUUGACUUGGGGGCUUUUCACGAUUAUUCCUAAAAGAUAAGUAGUAACUAAUAGAGGUAUCCGAGUCAUCACGAGAAGAAGGUGUAGUAGGAGAGCUUACCUCGGCAAUAUUCUCAAAAGACAAAUCAUUGGGUACCAAAGAGUGAAGGGUCAGCAAUCUGUGUAGUACCAUCAUUUUCAAUUCUUACUAUUUGCCCAGGUUCCUACUCAAUUUUUUGCUCAAUAUCAAUUCCAUCCUCCUCACUAACCAUUGCUUCACUUUUUCACUCACUAGGUUGCUAGGUUGUCUAGUUUUAGUUUGUACUAGAGUGUCUUCGAAUACAACACAAUCCCACCAAUUCUUCCUUUCAACUAGUGUCUCCCCCUUGAAAGGAAGAAUCGGAUGCUCAUAACGAUAAAAAAAAAAAAUCUUUUAGAUUCCUUGAAGGUUACGUCCAUGGUGACAUAGGUAUGCCUAGUAGCAGGAUUGUAACAUCAAUAUCUUUUUUUUUGUGUGUGAUACCCCAACAAAACACAACAAACUGCACAAGGGUCAAGCUUAGUACGUUGAUUUUAAGGAAGAUGAACAAAAGCAACACAUUUGAAAACUUGAGGAGGAAUCAGCAAAAUAGAUGGUAGGGUAACACGAUUGGAAAGGACUUAUAAUGGAGUUGUGAAAUUCGACACCUUUGAAGGCAAACGGUUUGAUAAACAUAUGGUUAUGAUCCCAGCAUUGUCCCAGUAUCUAUUUAGCACAUGUGAACCAAUCAAUAAUGCACGAGUAGUUUCUAAGAUAUGUCUAUUUUUUCAUUUGACAACUCCAUUCCGUUGUGGUGUUUGAGUACCGGAGGUUUCAUGAAGAAUACCAUGAUUCAUGAAAUAAUUUUAAAAUUCCUUAUCAACAUACGCUUCACCAUUAUCAGAAUGAAGAAUUUGAGUUUUAGCUAAAAAUUGAGUCUAAAUCAUAGCAUGAAAAGUUCAAAGCAUACCAAAUACAUCAUCUUUGUGCUUCAGCAAUUAUAACCAAGUCAUUCGAGUACAAUCGUUAACAAAUAUCACAAACCAACAAAUUUUGGAAAUAGCGGUAAUUAGAGUGGGUCCCCAAACAUCAAAAUGAAUUAACGUAAAGGGAAUAUCACUUUGUUGCAGGCUUAUUGGGAAAGGUACACUAUGACUUUUAGCCAAAAUGCAACUUUCACAUUUAAAAGCUAAAUCACAUAAGUUGGAAAAUAGAUAAGGACAUAGGUACUUCAUAUAAGUGAUGACGGAUGCCCCAAACGACGAUGCCAUAGCCAAAUUUGUCCCUCCUUGAUACUAGUUGAGUGUUGCAUGUUAUUUGUUGGACUUUGACUAAAAUCAUCCAUGUAGUAUAACCGCCUCUCUUAGUACCACACCCAUUGAUUUCCAUUGUGAAAAUAUCUUAAAAAGACAAAAAGUAGGAUAGAUUAUAGCAACGCAAUUUAGCUCUUCAGUGGCUUGGCCUACAGACAUCAAUUUAUUUGAGAGAGAUGGAACCAACAAAGUAUUGGAUGAAGAGAAAGAGGGUGAGAGAGUAACUGUCCCAGCUCUUGUAACAAGGUGUAUGACCCCAUUAGCAUUGGCAACAUUACUUCAUCUUGGUUGGUAAUCUUGACAAAUUCAUAUCAACAAAAUGUCACGUGGUCAAUUGCGCCCGAGUCAAUAAUCCAUCCACUAUAAUUAUCUUGAUUAUAGCUAAGCAAUGCAUCACCACAAUUACCUUGAUUAUUGAGAGUAGUAGAAUUACUUGAUGAUUCCACUUGUGGAAUUAAAGAUAAGUGAGGUUCUGCAUUUACCAAAGGAACUUGUCCCAACCCACUAUUAGCAUCUUUUUGUGCCUUGAGUUUUCUUCCACGAUUCUUGGUACCCAUGUAACUAAAAGCAAGUUUCACGAGUAUGCUUCAUGUUUCCAUAGUGUGUAAAGCCUCCUUCUAAUUGUGCCUUGGCCUUUGAUGUUGUAUUCAUCUUUCCACCUCCCAGAGAGGAAGAAUCAGCUUUAAAAAUCUGGAGCAUCAGUGGUCACUGAGGUUCCAUCUUGACUCCUUUGGAGGCCAUUGAAUUGGCAUGUGUAAAUUUUAUGCUUGGUAUCAUAACUACUUAUCUUACAUCCUCCCUUCAGACAUGAGCAUAGACUUGUUCAACCAUAGGGAAUGGUCGGAUUUGAAGCACAUUGGCUCGUAUGUUUUCUAGAUGAUAAUCCAUUCCAUCAAAAAAAAAAUAUAAACUCUAUGACAUGCACUCAUAACCAUAUUUAUAGCCAUAUAAAGAUGUAUUAAAAUCAUUAGGAGGAAAUAAUCUUGCAAAAAUUUUGAGAUUUUUCCAAUAACACAUGAAAGUAUUUGUUUAAAUAAGAUUAGCAUCCAAGAGUACAUUUGCAAUUGUGAUUCCAAACAAAUAUAAAACGUAGUCGACUUGGAAUUGAGCGUUGGAUAUGUUGAUUUUGACUAUCAAUUAAUCAAGGGAAAAUGUAAAAAGCAGUUGGCUAGUUGGCUUGUUGUAAGAGUUAUAACUGCAGCACAUAUAAUAAUACUAAUUUUCAGCAUCAAGUAUGCUUGAAUUACAUUUUUUUUUUUAUGUGCCAACAGAUGCUUAGAGAUUGUUAUAUGGUGUGAUAAUAUGGUGUAACUAUUGUUGAUAUUUAAGUUUAGCAACCCAUUAGAAAAUUAGGAAUUGACUCAGCUCUAUCAAAAAAAAAUUUCAUUAGAUUACACAGCAUGUAGGCAUUAGGAUAAUUUAUAUCAAUAUUGCUAAAUUUUACUAAUUUAUUAAUAAAAAAAUAAUAACAAAAUAACAAAAUAAUAAUUAACAAAAUUAAUUAAUUUAAAAAAGCGCCGGGCCGGGCCCGAGCUUGGUUGGCUCGGCCUACUCCCCCUCUCGUCUCCUUCCUUCCUGCCUAGGCUAAGCCCAUUCUCCUUAUUUCUUCUCCGGCCCGGCCCCUCCUUCCUCCCCUCCUGCUAUUCACGCGCGCGACAGAGGCAGCACAUUCAAAGGACCGGGGACGGCGAAAGCGACCACCGGUUAAAAGUGAAGAACGGAUGGAAAAGUGACGGGUCAAGCUGUAAAUUAGGGAAGGAGCUCAACGCCACAGAUUUGUCAAGAGCAGAGGACAGACCGGCGGCAGAGUAGAGAGCAAGGGGAGGACCACCGGUGUAGGCCAAGGACUGUCCGAUGCGUGAGAGACCGGGGGGAGAAGGGCUUCUACCUUGGAACGUUCAACAAGCCGAACUAGGGAGGAGUACUAUAAAAGAGGAAGAUGGAGAGACAGAGAGAGAACUGGAUGCACGGGCAAGAGAAAAACGAGGAGGGCGAGAGAAGAAGAAAAAAGGGUUGUUCCUGGCUAAGCAUCGUCCAGCUGCCCUCGACGCGAACCAACGCCCUCUAGUCGACACCAUCGAGCUCCCGGCAUUCCCCUUCCUCAUGGCGUUUGGUUUCUAGCAAGUGGAUUUGUCAGUUCGAUCGGCCAUCUUCCCGAGGAUCCCAGCUUGGCAACACAGGGACAGCCGGCUAUAGCUCGAUUCGUGUCGAGGCCGUCGUAGCCAAGCCAAGUAGGGACUCCGCAGUUAAACACUCGUUCCCUCGAACCCUUUUUGCUGCACCCUAUUUUGGUUGAAGGAGAGGCUGCGACCCGGCUUCUUUGGUUUAUUCGUGUUUUACUUCUAAGCUGUUGGCGUCGAGCAUUUCCUGGUGAUUUUCUUUGAGCUUAGAUCUAAGAAGGGUCAAUGUCUUCUUCUCGCUCUGUGCCCACUACGUGUUCGAGGGAACGCCCAAACCAAAAGCGGUCGUUUUAUUAGUCUCGGAUUAGGAAUUGUUCCAAGGAUCCGUAGAUGCUUUUUGCGCUGCACAACAUUUUUACCAAUGGCCGAAUACAUUUCUUUAGCCAGAUUUCAUCUCUAUAAAGUCUUAACAGCCCCGGAUUUUCUACCUCAUUUUUGCCUCGUGCUCAGACAUUUCCUUAGCCAGAUUCGGAAGUCGUUUCCCGAUUUGGUUUAAGGGGUCUCGGUCAUGACCACUCGAUGGCAGAAUCUGUAUGGUGCGAUCUACUGAUGUGUUAGUCUAAUGAUGAGCCUUGAUCGUUGAAGUCCUUGAGCGGUGGUCAUCUUGCAUUUUGGUGUGUUCUGUCUGGGUUUGUCUUGGGGUAGUGGAAUAGGGAGUAGACGUUCAAGGGCUUAGAUAAAUAGAGAAGAAAACGAAAAAGAGGAAGUGGGCUUGAGCUUAGUGUUGGUAAAUCUGGGUUGGGCUUAGGUUAAUUGAAUUUGGACUCAGUUCAGGUCGCGAACAGAUUGGGCUUGAAUACUUGAGCCCACUUCUUUUAGUCCAGUUGGUAUCACUAGCGCAGGCCGGAGGGGCCCCGAUAGAUCCACAUUCGGACUGGGCCUAGUCCGAGUCCCUAUUUUCAGGAUUAAAAAUUAAUUUAGAAAAAAAUUUAAAAAUUCCAAAAAAAUAUUAUUCUUUUUCAAGUUAGGAAAAAAGCUUAAAAGUUAGUUUUUGAACAGUUUUCUCUUAAAAUUUAUGAAAAUGCUAAAAGAAAAAGAAAAUGUUAGUUUCAAAAUUGAACAAGCUCUCAAAGCUUUAUAAUAGGGAUUGAAUAUUCAUGGAAACAAAUGUUGGCUUGUUGAUUGCACAUUUCCAUCGCUGCGUGCUUUUGAUGCAUGGAUUGUUGUUCCCUUAGCCUAGUUAGGAAUUGAAUCUCAGAACUCAUGAUUGCUAUAAAAUGUAGGACACUAGUUGAUUAAUUAAUGUAGUCCUCGACCUUAGAUUCUUUUGUACUAGCAGGAAAGUAAUUCUCCAAUUGCUUUAUGUGGGUAUUUAAUCAACGCAUGACAAACUAAUUAAUGGCGACUCUUAGAUAAAAAUAAUUUUGCAUGUUAGUUGCGAAUUGCUACAAGCUUGGAGAGCCCGAAUUAAGUCUAGAUUUAAUAAUUUAUUAGCCAAAUUUAAGGUGGCUCACCCAAGAUUACGUUGCAAUAACUAUGGGAUCAGAACUUUUGCACAAUAUACAAUUAAAUUUAUAAUGUGUUUUUGGACUAGGCCCUUAAGGUUUUUAAAAAUAAAAUAAAAUUGGCCCAUCUAUUUAAAAUAUUGACGAAAGCAUUGUAACAUGUCAUUAAGUUGUAGUUAAUUUCCAUUCUAGCCCCACAAGUGCUAUCUGAUGUGGCUGUCAAUCACCUUAAAUAAUAUGAAAAACAAAUCUAUUUUUUUGAAAAAUUCAAAGAUGCAUUACUCAAAGGUAAAUUACAAGAAAAACUAUUAGAAAAACGCAUCCAACUAAAACACACUCGGGAUGUCUUUGUGUUCGAUUAGAAUUUUAGCCUGAGCACAUGACCAACAAAAUCUGGUGAUUACUUUAAUAUUUCUCCCAUAAUUCCAUUUUUUUUUUAAAUAUUUUCAAUCUCUUGUUGAGAGAUGCUUUUUUGAAAUACUCCGUAGAAAACAAAUGCCAAGUUCUAAUUGCCCUUAAAAACCAAUUAAAAGUACAUAUUUUAUUUUUCAGUCAAUUUUGUUCAUGACUAUUCGGUAGAAUAUAAUUGCGACUGGUUCUUUACGCUGUCAUUCUAAGAUAUUACUUAAAAUCACGGUCAAUUGCUAAAAAAUAAAUUUUCUAUGCCUUUUUUUUUUGCUUGAAAAAUUGUCUAAGCCUUUAAUUUGUAAAAUUUAGGCAGAAAUUAAAAAAAAAAAUUCCACUGACGAUAAAAGAAAUUAGGUAUUCCUUGCUAGUCUUUUUUUUGGUAAUCCGAGGAACCCCGUCAGCCGUUCGUCGCCUUACAGCGGUACAUAGCUGCCAGGUAAACCUUGGAGUGAUGCUAGUAAAUGACCCACCACCCCGACAUCACGCUUAAGACGCCGAUGCUUCCACUGGGUUUCGACCCUUACACCUUUCCCCCAAGGUUCAAGGUCUUAUCCAGCGGAGCCACCAAGGCCGGUGGUACCUUGCUAGUUAGUGUCUUUCAUCAUGGUUUUUAAGUAUCAAACUUAUAACACAAUACGAGUUCUUUCAUCUUGAAUUGUGUCAUGCUGUUAAUGUUGUCAAAGUCAUUUCUUUAUCUUUCUAAAAAAAAAUAAAAAAUAAAACAUCCGCUCUACAAUAAAAUUAUUAUCCGGAAGGAUGAUGAUGUCAAGGCAUUGGUUGUCGUUUGCUUCUUUUUGCGGUAAUAGAAGAUAGACAGGAACACCAAAGCUAAACAUAAUAAACUGACAGCUACCGCAAAUAUCACUAUGGCCUUGGUUGAAGAAUACUUAUUAGAGCUUGGUGAUUUGCAAAGAGGAAGCUUCAAACCCGGAAUACCUCCACAAAGUUGUCUAUUUCCAAAAACCGAUACGGCACUUGCAUUAAGAAAAACUCCGCCCUCUGGAACUUGUCCUUCUAGCCCAUUGAAGGACAUAUUCAACAUCAAAUUUAACAUCUAACCUCAAAUUACAUUAUAUGAACGAUAAAUUAAGGGAAAGUAAAGUAAAUUGAGAUAUUUAAUUUUUUUCCAUCAUGUCAAAUUAAGAUCAAAUUAUGAAAAAGAUAAAAAUGAGUGAAGGUGAAUAUGUUUCUAGCCUAUUUUUGUCUUUUUAGCCAACGGUUAUUAUCUUUUUUUCUGGAAAUGAACAUUAUAUUAAGAUUAAUUGUAAUAUAAUUAGGGAAAAGCAAAGACUGAAAGUGAAUGGAGAUUUUACUUGAGUGAAUUGGGAUAAGAUUACGAAAGAAAAAAGAUAUAAAGGAGUGAGUAGAUUUUGUCUUGACUUGUUAUUAUUAUAUGAAGGGAAAAAUGAAAGGCAAGAAAAGAUAAAGGGAAAGAGAGAUUAUUUUAAUGUCUAAAUGGCCAUAAGAUGAGUCUACUUCAAUGCACAGCUUCUUUACAUAUAGUUUAUUAGAUUCUCACACUUAAACUAGCCCAAAUGCUUGCACAAACAUAAGUCCAUAGCAAAUGACAACAUAACACAUAUUCAAAGUACACAAUCAACCCUAAAAGUCCUUAUGGGCAAUUACUACAUAGUUACUUUAGGAAAUGCAGGAAGAUACUGAAUCCAGCCAGGAAAGACAGCUUGACGUCGCAUCUUGGCUCACACCUUGAGUCACUGGAGUCUCAACGGAGGGACUGAUUGUUACGGCCACUUCAAUGUUUUCUUCAAACGUGGAGCUCUGGUUAAUUUGGCUGAGUUUAUGAGCUACUUCACUCAUUGUUGGCCUCUUCCUCCUGCUUUGGUCUAAGCAUUCCACUGCAAUCUCAGCAACUGUUUUUACUUGCUUGAUUUCACCUCCUCCGGGAUCCUCAAAACUUAUGAUUUUGGAGAGGGUCCCGCCCUUCACGGAAGAGAUGAAAUGAGGGAUAAUAUUUAUUUCCUCUUUGAACUCAUUAGUAACAGAACUUGUAGGCUUCUCUUCAGUGAGCAACUCCACAAGGACAACUCCAAAGCUGUAUACAUCACUCUCAAUUGUUAGCUUACCGGUGGUUAGAUAUUCUGGAUCGAAGUAGCACAAGGUGCCUUCCAUUUUGGUGGCUACGAGAUGACUAUGCUGCGGUGAUAUAAGUACUGAAGUUCCAAAAUCAGAUAUUUUCACCGAGCAAUUUCGAUCCAAAAGUAUAUUCGUCGACUUGAUGUUGCCAUGAAUGAUUUCGGUAGAAUGCAUUUCCUCGAGUGCAAGAGCAGCUUCAGUGGCUAUUUUGAGCCGAGUUUUCCACAAUACUUCUGGAUGGAUGUGUUUGAAGAGAGUAGUAGCGUUUGGAAUAUAUUCAUAAACCAGCAAUGGUAUUCUAGUCUCCAAACAUAUGCCAUGGAGCUUCACCACAUGUUUGAGGUCUUUUAGUAUCACAGAUUUAAGUUCAUCUUGGAAGUCCUUGUUCAUUAGAGGCUUGUGCACAUCUUUAGGCUUCUUGACCACAACCUCAAUGUCCGCCCCCACUGCUAUUCUCCCUCUAUAGAUGGAACCGAAACCGCCGUUGCCUAACUUUUUGCUUUCAUCAUAGUUGUUGGUUGCUUUUGCUAGCUCUGCCUCCGUAAAGAUUCGAACUCCUGGAUGUUUAAAAAGCUUUCCUUUAUUUUUUCUGAAGUUUAUCUUUCUGAUUCUCCACUUCCAUGUGACCGAGGCUGAAGCAUUGACAUAUAUGCAGACGACGGGUGAAAGAAUCACUGCAAAAGAAUAUAUGUUACUAGAUUAUUCAUUUAAGCAUGUAAUCCUCAUACGCUCCACAUACUUCAUUAAAAAAAGAUUAAUUUCAAAUGCACAACACAUUUAAUAUUUUUUUGAUAUAUGUAUUUAUAUAUUUAUAAUCAUCACCAUUGAUUAUGGUGGUCAAUCAAUAUUGCAAUGUAUAACUAUGCAAUUUAACGGUGAUAGAAAUUGUUUUGGUGACAAAUAGGUUACACAUAUUACAUACUGUGUAAUAAUCUUUAUAAAAGUCCUUAUUUGAAAUUUGACAUGUGUCAUUAUAAAGUGAACAAGUAAUCAGAUGAACUCAAUUUAAUACAUAGUACUAGCAUCUUCUAUAACGUCUUUCCUUGAUUAUGAUGAAGAACGUUUGUAAUAAAAGAGAAUGAGAAGGCAUUCACCUCACAUUUUUUUAGAUCUUUCCAUCUACAAAUGGUAUCAAAACUUGGGGGAAAUUGUUUAACCAAUUAUGUACCUUAUAGUUAUCAUGCUUUAAAAUAAUUUUUUCCGUCCAUUCCACUGGUGGAAACUCUAAUAGAUGGGUCAAAAACAUAUAUAUCUUGCCCAAAUUUAUAUUUAGUUGAGUUAACAUGUGGAUAAUUUCUAUAAUAUGUAACUCACCAAUCAAAGCAUGCUUGAAAGACAUUUCCUCUAAUUAGAGACGAAAGAAAAUGUACCCAUUUAUAAAUUAAAGAUUGACUAUUAGUCUAAAACUAGUUUUUAACUAGGGACGGGCACGCGGAGGGGUUAGGACGAGGAUCACGUUCCUCAUCCCCACCCCUUAAAAUGAAAUGCCGCCAUCCCAUGCGAGGCACUGCCACAGAAUUUUGUUUCCUUCUAAAAAAGGUCUAAACCGCUUUCUAGAUGACAAUUUGACAUUUUUCUUAUUUUCAUAAAAAAAAAAAAGGAAUGGCCUCAUGGGUGAAUUUUGCAAUAAAGGAGUGGCCUCGGGAUUGCUUUUAUAUGGUCAAACAAAUUCCAAUCUUAACAAAUUAGCCAGUGUGAGACAAUGUGAAGAUGAAAUAUUUAAAAUAUAAUUGUGCCACAUUACUUACCUUGAGAACUUACCAAGCUUGCAUCUUCUAUAAAAGCAAGAUUGAUAAGGAGAAGAUAUUUUUUUAGGGUUUUAUUAUUAUUUCAUAUUUUUAAAACAAAUUAUUGUCAUAAAAUUAAAGAAAUAAAUAUAUAUACACGUACAUAUAAAUAUUUAUAUUUUUCUUCAAUGUGUACAUGGGGCGGAUUCGCCAAGUUUUUCACACGCGUACCUAUUAAUUUCAAUAGCUUGAAAUACGUAAAAUAAAUGAGAAUCUUUUUAUAUCCCGAAAGAAACUAAUGCAAUUCACUGCUUUUUGGGCCAAUAUUUUGUUGUCUCGUUUGGGCCUUUGUGUCCAUUUAGUGCUCAAGAGCGGCUAUCACUUCCGCAACUCCCAAGGGGAGUCUAGAAAGUUUCGAAAUAAAUCAUCGAUCAGACUCAAGUUUUACCAAGUUCUUCCUGUGCUACUUUUUUGGCCAAUAUUUUCACAGUUCAGAUUUUAAGGAAGCUCAACCGCAUUGCCUUCUUCAACAAUUGCCUUCAUAUGUCAUUGGUUAAUUCUGCUCCAUUUUUCUUUUUUCUUUUUCGAGUCCAAAUUUGUGCUCACUUUCGAUUUAAAUUUUAGGAUUUUUCCCUUGUUAAAUCUGCAAGCCUAGCUGUUCUUUUUGGCUCGAGAUUUGCAGGUUCGGGUAGAGGAGGAAUUUUCAUUAAAUCUGCUGCGCAUCCUCCCAUGCACGUAGUUUCAAAGUGUUAGCUUCGGAAAAAAUGGAAAACAAAAAAGGGCGAGGAGCGAAGUUAAAAAGAAAAAAAUAAAAUAAAGAUAAGAUGUAAAUAGCUUUAGGCUAGAACUAAAUAGGCACAUCUGGCAGCCUGUGGCUCACUGCUUGUGUUAUUGGGGAUUACACCCCGUAAUAUAAUAAUAUUUAAAAUGUACACGUCAAACCUAUUAUAAAAUCAAGAAUGGAUCGAUAGAUAUGAACUAUUAGGUGAAUGAUAAGGAGAUAUAUAUGAACUUACCUGCAAUUACUAUCUCGGGAAGAUGACCACCGCCGUCACAUGUGUAGCUCCCAGGUAGAUUAUGGCACUUUCCAGGACAUGUGUUUUUCUCUCGGUCCUCACACUCAUCGAUGUCUACAUUAUACAUAAGACAAAUUGAACCUCUUUCUCGGUUAAUGGCAAAAACAGAUAGAACAAGUUGGUGCAUGGAUUAUUAGAAAAGCAAUGCUAUCCCAUUCAAGUUUUGGUCAUAGUAUUGUGACACAUAUCCAUUCUCUUUUAAGAUAUCUCCUUUCCCUACCCUUUGUCUCUCUCCCCGUGGAAUUCGAGGUCAACAAUGGCGUCAUUCUUUGCCAUGGAUGGAGAUCAUCGCUGCCUCGAUCUCUAUUUAAGUGACCGCAUUGAGGGCACAACAGCUCCGAAAGGAUCUACAUACAAAACUAGCAGAAAUCGAGCUUUUGCAGUGAUGCAUGAACCCCACGUUGCAAGAGCGAGGCGAGGGGUUGCUGUUUCCAUAUCAUUUACCUAGGAAUGAGAAGAUUGAUCUUUACAAGCAUGAGUGAGGUGGGUGUGCUGAUCUGUAUACCUAUUACUAAAUAUGAUGGGCUCAUCGGAUCUUUUUAUUUACAUACAUUUUAGUACAUGUACCAGGUUUAGUGAGAAUAUAAUUAAGAGGGCGGCAGCACAGAGUUUAAAGAAGAAGAGAAGAUUGUUGUCGAAACGUGGGGAUAAAGUCGCUAGAAAUACAUGUUGACGUCCGUAGGGUGGUGGCAACGGCCUUGACUUAUUCUAUUAGGCAAAAAGUCAAAAACUUAGGAGAAACACAUGUCCAAGUUCGAAUUUAUUCGAUCGGGCUUAUCACAAUUAUUGAUAGUGUGAAUCUCAAAUUCCACAUGUUCAAUACUAGUUAUAGAUUUAGGUCCUAGAAAGAUUACCUAAACUUAUCUAGACCUCCCAUUAAAGUUAUAUUUGGUGGUACACAUCAAAACACACUCUCCCUUCCCUCUAUCACUUUCCACGGAACUCACCAUCCACUCUACCACCACCAAGGCCCAGCAAUGCAACUAACAUUAUCGAGCCAGGGCUCGUUGUCUCCUUGUUGAGAUUAAUAUUCAGGUGAGUUAAGGCCACUUCCUCAAGAAGAUAUUAGGUAUGCAAGUGAUACCAUGUCAGAUUUGCAAUGGUGACACAUGCCAACCUUGAGACUCACCAUUAGAAAUUUUGAAAUGGGAUUUGCUAAUAUAUUUAACUUUGGACUAAUGUAAGAACAACAUAUUGUGAAUCGCAAAUUCUUUAAAAAGUUGUUCUUAUAAUAAUUUCUAAUUAUUUAUUAUAUUUUUUAUAAACUAAAAUAUACUGUUAUUCUCAUAGUUGGUUACAGACGGUUCAUAAACAUUUCUUAUUUGAAAUUAUAUUUCUCUCCCUUUGUCUCUCUCUUCUCUUUUGCACUUGUCAUUUCUCUUCUUCUUCUUAGUUUCUUCUCUUCUUUUUUUCCCUUUUCUUUCCCUUUGCCCUGUGGCUGGUAGCUGGCCAUCCGGCCAUAAGGAAGGGUCGCUUUCGCCAGAGUCAACAAGGGUUGGACCCUCGCAGCUAGGGCAAGGGUCGCCCUCACCUUGACAGCCUUGCCAUAUCUAGAAGCUGUGAAGAGAGGCAACGACAUCGGAGCUUCAGGAGACCUCGAGGAUGCAGGGAUUGACGGAAGGCCUGGGCUUGUGGACAAAGGGGGGCUUGGGCUUGUUCUUAGACCCAGGGGACAGUGGAUGACCAGUGGAGGGGGGCAACGUCAUCCAAGCUGCAAGCGACCUUUAGGAUGUCAGGGCUGAGGGAGAGCCUAGGGUCACAGGUGAUGACGACCGGGGGACAUGGUCUAGUUUUUGGACCUAAGGGUGGCUGCGGGGGGCAGCGGACGACCUAAUUGGUGGAGCCGUCGCUGGAAGGGGAUCGGUGGACGAGGCGAUGGUGGAGGCAACGGACAAGGGAGAGGCGGCGGCGAGAGAGAGCAGAUCGUGAGUCGAGAGGGGGAGUGAGAGAGCAAAGCGUCGUUGGGGAAGGAGAGAGCAGAGAGCGUUCUGUGACACGGGAGAGAGACAAUUUCAAAAUUUCUGACAGUGGACCCAAAGGAUGACACGUGUCAUUCAUUUAAUGGACUAUAGUAAAUCUGAGCUGGUAUUCUAACAUUUUCUCCCACUUCCUCACCACCAGCACGCCCGCAUCAUUGCCACGUCGCUCUUUAUGAAAUGUUGCAGCAGUUUUGUCUUUUUCAUAGGAGACUUAUAGAUAUGGUCUCCUCCGUUAAUGGAAUAGACUAGCAAGCAUAUCUCAUCUCCUUCGUUGCGAGGAGACAUUCGGGGGGAUUUGUCAAUGCUGAGAUGAGGUACAAGACAGACUCGGGGAGAGAGAGAAAGUCGUCAUAGUCGUUGCUUGGAGUGGUGGAGGCACUUUGUUGUCAUCUCCGAAGUGGAGUAGCUGUUGCCAUGGAGGAGCGGGAGUGUGUUUUGGUAUGGUAGAGAGAGAGACGGCUGUGGGGUCCGACGCGCAUGAAGGCCGACGCUAGGCUCACCUAAGGUGGUGGGCGAAUGAUGUGGCGGUGGCAAUGUCGUGAGAUGCAAGCGGGAGAGUGGAGGUAGAGGUUGAGAGGGAGGAGAGAGGGAGAGAGGGUGGCACAAAUCAAACGGCGCCUCAUUAAAUGGGUAAACUAGAUGGAAACAAUGCAUAAAUUAGUUAUCCACACAGUUCAUUUAGAGGUGACAAUGCAUGAGUCGGAUAUGUAAAUUACCUUGACACCCGCGGGAGAGAUAGGGAUUCCCCUUAUACCCAUGCUGGCAAAAGCAACGGUAACCCGGUCCAUCCGCGAAGUCGCCACAGUCAGUGUUGUUGCCACAGGCAUAGCUCGACUUGUUCUUCCUCGCCUGUGCGCAAGUGACGUCCCAUCCGAUCAUCCAGUCCAGAACAAGGUCCGCCCUCUUGCCCAAAUCAUUCGAGGUCGGGAGUCUCCUGCUGGAGAUAUUGAAUAACUCUUUGUCCCCCACGAAGGCCACUCCACAGGGGUUGACUUUCGAGACCGACACGUGUUUGUCGAGGGAGGAGAUUGAAAUGAUAAGCGUCUUGAGCCCCUUCGGAAUGGAUGCUUGACAGCAACCGAGACCAGAGCAAGUGGUCUCCUUCGCCAAGUCGACGUCCUUGAUGCAGUAGGAGAAGCAGCCGCCCCAGAAAGAACUAUUUUUAUCGGUCAUGAGCACGUAGGUGUCACAGCCGAGGACCGUGAGGUUGUUCCGGGUGGC
rnacentral:lncRNA from 1 species